rnacentral:tRNA from 2 species
GCCCCGGUAGCCCAGCGGUAGAGGCAAUGGAUUCAAAACCCAUUCAGCGUCGGUUCGAAUCCGACUCGGGGUA